rnacentral:lncRNA from 1 species
UAAUUAUAUUCAAGGUAAACGUCCUUAAGUUUAGCAUUUGCCCAUGAAAAGUAUGACGCCAACAGCGAUACUUUCUGUCAAAAGCCAAAAGGAAAAAAGCAUUCCAGCACAUAAGAAGCUCACUUUCCAGUAAUCACAGACAACUGUUUGUGAGUACACAGAAUGCCUGAUAUUGGUCCAAGGGCUGGACCUACAGUUGAUGAGGUAUAACUCAUACCAAGCCUAAGAGAAAAGCACUCAGUUACCCUCAUCUGACAGAUGAUGAAACUGAGUCACAAAGGUGUUAGGUAACUUAUUCAGGCCUAUGCACCCAGGAGACUGCAGGACUGGAAUUUGAGUUUAGAAAAGUCAGAGCUUGAGAAGGAAUUCUCUAAUCUGGUUAACCCUGGUAUUCAAGCAAAUAAAUUCACACAAUCACCAUCAAAAUGGGGAAAAAAUUAACUAAGGAAAGUAAUUAGGAGUAAAGAGAAAAAGGUUUUCGUGUAGUAAAAUAUUUACAACCAAAAAUACUGAGGAAUUAUAUUCAAAUAUGAAUGGAGUGCAGAAAAAUGGAUGAUUUUUAAAUGAGGCCUGAAAAUGAAAAUAAACCAUUGAAUAUGAAGGCAUUAAGUGCACCAAGUCCUGUUCCAUGCAUUUGACCCACUAUUCUUCCUCUUGAAAUGUUCUCUCUCCAUCUCUCUAGUUCUCCAAAUUUGAGUUAUCAAGAUGCAGUUGAGAAUGUGAACACAAGCCCCAUCAUCAGUGUCCUGGUAAUGUUAACCAAGCCAAAGAACAGCAGUGUUCCCAGUUAUAGAAUGAAGGCAUGAGACUAGAUGGAGAGUGGCAGAUUGAAUAACAACCCUUCUCCUUGGCAAACAGAACCCCGCUUUUGUCCAGGGCUAAUAUGCUCAGGGCCAGAGGGAUCAUAAUGACAAUAUCUGCACGCCCUAUCCAUCAGAGCAGUCAUAGACAAACACUCUUUGUCCCAAAUGGCCUUCCAGGACCAGAACACCCUGCAUGGUGAAAUCAGAAAGUGAGGAAUCCACAUAUCUCAUGCGGAUGGCAGAUCAGAGCCAUCGUGGACUACAAGGCACACUGGGCUUCAGCAGACUGGAGAGUAAACUGAGGAGAGGUCUUGGAGUGGAAACACUGCAGUCCUUGGGCCUAACCAUUUGGUUACUCAAUGAGGAAGCUGCCCUGCUGCUUGCUGCAUACCCAGAUACUUGCAAAUCUUCAGGAACUACUCAAGAGGGUGAGCGUUGGAGAUGAUUACUAUGCAUAUUUAUUUUGUGAACAGUAAUAUGCCACUAGGAAACCUUAAGCUGAUAGUAGAGGAUAGUAUUUAACCUUACAGAACUGGGAGUGGGUAAUGGUGGGCUAAGAAGACAUGAGCUAACUAUGGGAGGUCAUGUCCUUAGAGAGAAUAUCAACAUUUCAGCUACUCUGUUUGAGGGACUUGGACAAGAUCCAAGAAGCUUCAGCAAACAAAAACUCUAGUACUAUAGUUAAGUUAGCCUCAAGGCAACUUGCAC